rnacentral:rRNA from 1 species
ACAGAGGUCUCGAGCGUUAGGCGGAAUCACUGGGCUUAAAGCGUGUGUAGGUGGAUGCCUAAGUACCUUGUGAAAUCCCACGGCUUAACCGUGGAAUUGCUUGGUAUACUGGGUGUCUUGAGCCACUUAGGGGCAACCGGAACAAAUGGUGGAGCGGUGAAAUGCGUAGAUAUCAUUUGGAACGCCAAUGGUGAAAACAGGUUGCUGGGAGUGUGCUGACACUGAGACACGAAAGCCAGGGGAGCAAACGGGA